rnacentral:rRNA from 1 species
GUCCGGAAUUAUUGGGCGUAAAGAGCUCGUAGGCGGCUUGUCGCGUCUGCCGUGAAAACCUGCAGCUUAACUGUGGGCUUGCGGUGGGUACGGGCUGGCUUGAGUGCAGUAGGGGAGACUGGAAUUCCUGGUGUAGCGGUGGAAUGCGCAGAUAUCAGGAGGAACACCGGUGGCGAAGGCGGGUCUCUGGGCUGUUACUGACGCUGAGGAGCGAAAGCAUGGGGAGCGAACAGGAUUAGAUACCCUGGUAGUCCAUGCCGUAAACGUUGGGCACUAGGUGUGGGGGCCAGUUCCAUGGUUUCUGUGCCGUAGCUAACGCAUUAAGUGCCCCGCCUGGGGAGUACGGCCGCAAGGCUAAAACUCAAAGGAAUUGACGGGGGCCCGCACAAGCGGCGGAGCAUGCGGAUUAAUUCGAUGCAACGCGAAGAACCUUACCAAGGCUUGACAUACACCGGAAUGCUGCAGAGAUGUGGCAGCCUUUGGGCUGGUGUACAGGUGGUGCAUGGUUGUCGUCAGCUCGUGUCGUGAGAUGUUGGGUUAAGUCCCGCAACGAGCGCAACCCUUGUCUCAUGUUGCCAGCACGUGAUGGUGGGGACUCAUGAGAGACUGCCGGGGUUAACUCGGAGGAAGGUGGGGAUGACGUCAAAUCAUCAUGCCCCUUAUGUCUUGGGCUUCACGCAUGCUACAAUGGCCGGUACAGUGGGUUGCGAUCUCGUGAGGGUGAGCUAAUCCCGUAAAGCCGGUCUCAGUUCGGAUUGGGGUCUGCAACUCGACCCCAUGAAGUCGGAGUCGCUAGUAAUCGCAGAUCAGCACGUGCGGUGAAUACGUUCUCGG